rnacentral:RNase_P_RNA from 1 species
AAAGUUUGACAGACAAUCGCUGGUGACUUCGGUCACGAGAGGAAAGUCCGGGCUCCGAAGGGCAGGAUGCUGGAUAACGUCCAGUCAGCGCGAGCUGAAGGAUAGUGCCACAGAAAUGGACCGCCGAUGGCCGCUUGCGCGGCACAGGCAAGGGUGGAACCGUGGUGUAAGAGACCACGAGGAACGCUGGCGACUUCGUUCCUGGUAAACCCCAUCCGGAGCAAGACCUAAUGGAACGCGAGCGGCUUCGAGCCGCAGCCUUUGCCCGAGGCGCGUUCGGGUUGGUCGCUGGAACCGUGCAGCAAUGCGCGGUCUAGAUAGAUGAUUGUCGCUUGACGUGGGAGGGUAGUUCCCGUUCAGACCACUACAAGUACAGAACCCGGCUUAUGGCAAACUUUCCAA